GGUUACCAGUGGCCACUGAGGGACACUAUCGGAAUAUGCAAUGAACCCUAUCAACCUACGUAUCAAACUUCAUGAAAUUGCAAGUUAUUACCAUCUGAGGUCAUGCCGAUGUCUCCUGACCCAACCUGGUCACUCCGGAACCGGCUUCCGGUGGCCACUGAGGGAUACUAUCGGAAUGUGCAAUGAACCCUAUCAUCCGACGUAUCAAACUUCAUGAAAUUGCAAGUUAUGACUAAGGCUACCAACUGCACGGAUUUUUUCCUUACCAUACGGAUUUUCGAACCUCUUCGCGGAUUUUUAACAGGCCGGAAUUUUUGUAGGGAAUUUUACGCAUAAUACGGAUUUGUACGGAAUUUUUACAACUUUUUAAUCAUUGAAUUCCUUUUUUGAUUUGGUCGAAGCUUUUGUUAACCAGAAAUUAUAAAUUUGCUGUGAGUUUGAUUUAAAAAGGGAGAGUUUUCCGGGGUUUCCUCAAUUCAAACUUGAUUAUCAAUAAUUCUAGAGUUUUGAACUAUUGUCUUUCAUAUGUUGAUAAGACCUUUAAAAAAAACUCUAGAAUUGUUCUUUUAGAAAUUCCUUACUAAAUAUAUUUAUCCAUUUCCAAAGGCUUUCUAAAACUUGUAAAAACAUUUGAACAUUUGAAUUAACAAAUCUAGAGUUUUUUUAUAAGGUCCUAUAAACUGUUGUGUUUCACAUGUUAUAGGACCUUUUCAAUGAAAAAAACUCUGGAAAAGUGUUCGAGAAAACACUAAUAACGAUAUUAUUCGUAAAAGCAAACUUGACAUUUCGUAAACUUUUAAACGUUUAACAAAAAAGAAUUGAAGAACAUAAUGAUUUGAUUCAAAUUACGGUUUAUUUUAUGAAUACUUUAAACGUGCAAGUCAUAAGCACUCUGAUAGCAUUUUGUGAAAUUUGUUAGCUGUAAAAACGACACAGUUUUAUAUUUUUAAUUCUCAAAUUUAUUAAAUAUAUUUAAUUUAUCUAAAUAAUUCAUUGACAGUUUUUGUUAUACCAUGGUGUCAUAUCUGCAAAGUGUACGGAUUUUUGCUCAGCAAGAGUUGGUAGCCUUAGUUAUGACCAUCUGAGAUCAUGCCGAUGUCAUCUGACCCAAUCAGGAUGCAAUAGAAAUUCUUUGUUUUGAACGUUUUUGCUAAUAACCAAAACAAAUCUAGGGCACUUUUAACAAAGUUUAAUGUUUAAAAUUAUUUUUAAAUUGCCUGUGAAAUAUGUGUAUUUCCUUGCCAUUUUUUCGGUU